AAACCUCUUAUCCAUUCCCACCCCGCAGCCUCCCGAUUCUUCUCCACCUUCCACCGCCGGGCGCCGUCCCCCGCAACUCCGUCGGCCUCCUUCCCCCGCUCAGGCCGCCUCCCUCCCCAGCUCCGGUCGCCUCCCUCCCCAGCGCCGGCCUCCUUCCUCCCUAGCGCCGGCCUCCUCCCCAGCGCGCCGCCGGCCGGACUCCCUCCCAGCGUGCCGCCAACCGACCUCCUCCCAACGCGCCUCCGGUCAGCCUCGCCUCAAGCGCACCGCCGCGACGGCCCUCGCCGCCACCACCACCUCCCACCGCCACCAGCACCACAUCCUCAUCCCCGUGAGCCCACGCCCGUCACUCCCCACAAAUUCCGCCGCCUCCCUCCCUCCUACACCGGCGCCGCCCUUGCCUCAUACCGGCAGCCGCCCUCCCUCGCGCCGGCAGCCGCCCUCCCUCGCGCGCCAGCCUCCUCCACCCCCCACGCUCAGGACGCCUUCCUUCCUGCGCUCUGGUCGCCUUCCUCCUCGUGCGCCGGCCUCCUCCCUACCCGCGCUCUAUCUGCCUUUCUUCCCGCUCUCCGGUCAUCUUCCUCCCCGCACUUCGACCGCCUUCCUCCCCCCGUUCCGGCCUCCUUCCUCCCUGCAAUCAGUUUGCCUCCCUCCCCACGCUCCGUCCACCUUCCUCCCCGAGAUCCGUCCGCCUUCUCCCCUGAGAUCCCACGGUCGUACCGCCGUCGUCCAACCCCUCCAUCUAUAAGUAAGGGCACUAGGCCGCCCUCCACGCCGGGGUGGCCCUGCUAGCCAUCAGCGGUGGAAGCGGAGUGGCUACCAUGGCGGGGGUGGAGACGAGUUCGUCCUGGGCGUGCGCAUCCUCGGGAAGUCCAUCUGCAAUAUGGGCACCUCGCAGAGACCUCAUAGUGCUCGUCCCAGACUACUCUCUGAAGCCACUCGAGGUGAAGAAUACACGGUAGGAUCUGCCCCAGCAAACCACAUGUCGCCGGAGGCGCUCUGCCUCUCCUAUGCACCCCCUGCUUCCAUCUCCCUCCACUGCCGCCCUCCCCCCUCCAUAGUUCUUGGCACCGCUGUGGCCCCGCACUGGAUCGACGCGCCGCUAUCACUCUGCCGCCGCGUACAGAGAGUUCAAUGCCGCAACCCUUGUCCAUUCAAUCUCGCCGCCAUGGGCAUGCCCCACUCCAACUCCCUCGCAUGUGCUUCCGUGGCGAAACAGUGCAACCUGCAGGAGGAACCGUGGGGGGUCCAGGAUGUCCAUCUCGGCAGUCCAACUCGGCAUGAUUCACGUCAUCGUUGGCCCCAUGUUCGCUGGCAAGACCAUCGCUCUUCUCCGCCGGCACCGGCAGGUACUCACCCUUGUCCCGUCUCUUGCUUACUGCUUCAUUUGUGUUCCUAAAAACAAAAAACAAGCAAGUUCAAAGUGAAAAUAAUGAGAAGCUAGAUGUUUAAAAAAAUUAGAAGUUAUUUUAGUGAAUCUCUAUUGAAAAUUAGCUCACAUUUUACUGAAUCAGAAGUGGUUUGUACUUUUUUGCUUGAUGCGUGUUCUUGAGCAGUUCAAAACAUGUACUUGUUCCGUGGUUUGCUAUAACACUUGUUAGAUUGCUCUCCAAAAAAGUCAUGUAUUCAUGAAUUUGCUACUGGUAUAGCACCCCGUAUGUAUUUUAUCAUCAGUUCAUAAAGAAAAGCUGAAACAGUGCAGUGUGCAUGUUAAAAAAAUAAUUCAGUUUUAUAUUGUAUGGUAGUUUUCACUUCAUAGAAAAUUUCUAACAGUUUGGCCAAAAUAAAGUUUGCAUAGUUCAUACUCGAGAGGCAGUAAUGUUCAAUGACAGAAAAACAUCAGUUCAAAUAUAUAUGCAGGAGGUUGAGAGCCAAAAAAACUGAUUCUUUUAUGUGUUUAAUUUUUCAGCUGUAAGAUAGAAAUUUCUCUCUCUUAUCUAUCUUGGUUCUCAGGAAAAUUGGGCUGGGAGUCGACAAGCUGGGCAAAAUGUGUUGCUACUUCUACAAUAUCAAAGAUGAUGACAUUCUGGUCUUGCUCGUCGAGGACCCAAUCACAGGGCUGUCUGUCGCUGCCGCAAUGCAUUAGGAAAAGUUCAAGUUUCCUAUUAGAUUUAGUUCUAUUGGAAAAGGGCUGCCCUCACCGCGCUUAUCCCCGUCGCCGGAGGGCCGGCGUGCAGGGGUUGGGCCACAGCCGACACUUCCGUUCGUGCCCUACCACUGCUCAAUCUUCUCGCCUAACCCCCUUCCUCCCCGAUCUGCUACUGAUGUACCCCAACUACCACUCGAGCUUCGGGGCACUCCUCUGUCCAAGUUGAGCAUUGGGCGCCGUCCGAGUAGAGCACUGCACCCCGUCCAAGUCCCAUCUAAUGUUGAACGUUCAAUUUUGUCAUGUUGAAUAAUAUAGCGCUGAGCACCCUACAAUUUUUUUUGCUUGAGCGCUGAGCAAACAGUGGAGCCUGCUGGAGGCUCAACAGUACAACUUCUUGUUUUGUGGCCGGUCGCUCAAGGAGCUGAGUGCAGGCCGCUGUAAGUACAUGAUUACUAAUAUUAGGAUAUGUAUGUGGUCCCAGUAAGUACAUGCGUAUUAAUUAGCAAGUUUGGUUGCUUCUGAAAACUGAAAAAUGUCAGCUUGUACUGAUGCAUUCCAAAAAUGGUUUGUGUGUUUUCAAGAAAAAACAUUUGUCAGGUUUUUGGUGGCCAAGUACUAUUGAUAUGGAGAUGAAUAACUAUGCGGAUGCGCUCCUGUUGUUUUUCUGGAAAAAACAAAAUGCCAUGUUUACACAUCCAUAUUUAAUUUUGGAAGGUUCACACAUCCAUAUUAGAGAGAUUCAUUGGACAUAAUUUUUUAAGGUCAGAAAAAGCAAUUGCUCAGUACAUCAUAGCAGCUCUUCGAUGAAAAAAGGAUGGCUCUUCUCAAGUCAGCAGCUAACCAAACUAGCUAAGUUUUUAUAAAUUCAUUCUAGUGUCAAACGUUGGUGAGAUUCUGAUUAAGACUUUUGUCCAUUCCAGCAACUUCAGGGUAGCUCAGUCAAAUAUGGCAAUUGUGCAGUAAACAGUUUCAGUUGAGAAAUUAGCAAGCGCCAUGCUCAGUCCAACCCCGUGGCUUUAGGGUGGCCAAGUUCGUCGCGACCAUCAGUUUAGAGACUUGCGUCACUGCGCGUGUCGCUACCAUGGCCCCCUGUGUCACUGCGUGCUUCGUCAACAAGCCUCCUGCACAUGGAAAAGCAACAGAAGUCUGAGAUGCUCUGUUCUAGUGAGGUGGCUGAUUAUGUUUGUCAGUUUGUAAUACUUUGGCCGCAGUGUACUUAUGUAUCUUUUUCUGGCCGGAGCAC